GAGGGUAGAGCUCAAUAGGAGAGUGAGUGCUUAGCAUGCACAAGGUCCUGGGUUCAAUCCCCAGGACCUCA
rnacentral:tRNA from 1 species